rnacentral:lncRNA from 1 species
GUGAUCCUUCCACCUCGGCCUCCCAAAGUGCUGAGUUUACAGGCGUGAGCCACUGUCCCUGGCCAAGCAUCAUUGAAUUUGAGGGGCUGAAACUUGGAUCCUGCAACCCAUCUUCAACCAAGUAAAAGACAAGCCCCUUCACAGCUUAUUACUCAAGUAGUCUGCGGAUCUUCAGAGAGGCUGGAAGAAGCUAGUUGUACCAAAGGGACCAAAACUUGGUCUACAAGAUUCCCUGGUCAUCUACAUGAUGAAUAAACUUCAAAUAGGGUCUCGCUCUGUCGCCCAGGCUGGAG